rnacentral:rRNA from 1 species
GAUGAACGCUGGCGGCGUGCCUAAUACAUGCAAGUCGAACGCAUUGAGAAAAGUGCUUGCACUUUUCAAUUUGAGUGGCGAACGGGUGAGUAACACGUGGGCAACCUACCUGAUAGCGGGGGAUAACGAGUGGAAACAUUCGCUAAUACCGCAUAACAAUAGAGAAGGCAUCUUCUUUAUUUAAAAGGCGCUUUCAAGCGUCACUAUCAGAUGGGCCCGGGGUGCAUUAGUUAGUUGGUGGGGUGAAGGCCUACCAAGACGAUGAUGCAUAGCCGAGUUGAGAGACGGAUCGGCCACAUUGGGACUGAGACACGGCCCAAACUCCUACGGGAGGCUGCAGUAGGGAAUCUUCCACAAUGGACGAAAGUCUGAUGGAGCAACGCCGCGUGUGUGAUGAAGGCUUUCGGGUCGUAAAGCACUGUUGUAUGGGAAGAAAUGCUAGGCUAGGAAAUGAGCUUAGUUUGACGGUACCAUACCAGAAAGGGACGGCUAAAUACGUGCCAGCCGCCGCAGUAA